CCCUUAGAUGUUCUGGGCCGCACGCGCGCUACACUGAUGAAUUCAACGAGCACUAACCUGUGCCGAAAGGUUCGGGUAAUCUUGUGAAAUUUCAUCGUGGUGGGGAUUGAUUAUUGCAAUUUUUAAUCAUAAACGAGGAAUGCCUAGUAAGCGUGAGUCAUCAGCUCACGUUGAUUACGUCCCUGCCCUUUGUACACACCGCCCGUCGCUCCUACCGAUUGAAUGUGCCAGUGAAAAGUUCGGAUUGGAGAUAGGAGACGGCAACGUAUCCUAUUUCCGAGAAAAUCUUUAAACUUUCCCAUUUAGAGGAAGGAGAAGUCGUAACA
rnacentral:rRNA from 1 species